AGAAUCAACGCUGGCGGCGUGCCUAACACAUGCAAGUCGAUCGAGAAAGUGGAGCAAUCCAUGAGUAAAGAGGCGCACGGGUGAGUAACACGUGACUAACCUACCUUCGAGUGGGGAAUAACCUGGGGAAACCCGGGCUAAUACCGCAUAAUACCUACGGGUCAAAGGAGCAAUUCGCUUGAAGAGGGGGUCGCGGCAGAUUAGUUAGUUGGCGGGGUAAUGGCCCACCAAGACGAUGAUCUGUAUCCGGCCUGAGAGGGCGCACGGACACACUGGAACUGAAACACGGUCCAGACUCCUACGGGAGGCAGCAGUGGGGAAUUUUGCGCAAUGGGGGAAACCCUGACGCAGCAACGCCGCGUGGAGGAUGAAGUCCCUUGGGACGUAAACUCCUUUCGACCGGAACGAUUAUGACGGUACCGGAUGAAGAAGCCCCGGCUAACUUCGUGCCAGCAGCCGC
rnacentral:rRNA from 1 species